CUACCUUUCUGGUUAGAGCAGUUACAAUAUAAGGAUCCAAUAAUUCAAAAUCCUGCGGCAACUAAAGCAGCCAUAUUGUGUUUCUUUGAGAUUUCAGCAGUUUUUUUUUUUUUUAAACUGAGAACAUUCAUUUUAAUAUAAACAAGGAUUUUCUACUUGCGUUGGUUAAAGCCAAAUCUUGCUACAUAAUUUGAAUAUUGCAUGGAUGUAAGUCAGCAAGUUAUGAAAGACAGAUAUACAUAUAUUUUAAUAUGAAAUUAGGCCCAAACAGGUAUAUCAAAGCGGUAUGUGUGGCGCCUUUGUGAUUCUUCCGAUAUAUAUGGAAUAGAAAACAAACACACAAAAAAAGAAAUUUCAACAUUCUGUCUCUUAUUCAUUCACACGAUUCUCUUUAAUUGGGUGGGCUGCCCUGGGUGACUGGAUUACAAUGCACAGAUAUACAGAAUAGACUGCACUGGCCAACCUUCCAUUCAGCUGCUCCACUUUAAACUGCCCUCAAUUGUUUUACAAAUAAAACACUUUUUAUUGGACUUCUACAGCAGGCUGCUGCUUGAUUCCUGCUUUUGGGGAUUAUACCACUUCAAGCUGUACUAUAGGAGCCAAUAUAGGAGGGUCCUUAACAUGUGAGUGCAAUACUUUACUGAUAUGAAUACUAAGCGUGAUAUACUACACUAUAUUAUUUUCUCUGUUCUACACUAUAUGUCUGACAAGUAUAUCCACUACCAUAAGGAUGGCUUGCUGUAUCACUAUUACACUAUAUCAUUAGGCGGAGAUUAUUCCGCCCAAACACACAAGUUGGAGAUGAAUUGAAGCUCAAGAAAAGUGUAAGUGUUCCU